GAUGAACGCUGGCGGCGUGCCUAAUACAUGCAAGUCGAGCGAAUGGAUUAAGAGCUUGCUCUUAUGAAGUUAGCGGCGGACGGGUGAGUAACACGUGGGUAACCUGCCCAUAAGACUGGGAUAACUCCGGGAAACCGGGGCUAAUACCGGAUACCAUUUUGAACCGCAUGGUUCGAAAUUGAAAGGAGGCUUCGGCUGUCACUUAUGGAUGGACCCGCGUCGCAUUAGCUAGUUGGUGAGGUAACGGCUCACCAAGGCAACGAUGCGUAGCCGACCUGGGAGGGUGAUCGGCCACACUGGGACUGAGACACGGCCCAGACUCCUACGGGAGGCAGCAGUAGGGAAUCUUCCGCAAUGGACGAAAGUCUGACGGAACAACGCCGCGUGAGUGAUGAAGGCUUUCGGGUCGUAAAACUCUGUUGUUAGGGAAGAACAAGUGCUAGUUGAAUAAGCUGGCACCUUGACGGUACCUAACCAGAAAGCCACGGCUAACUACGUGCCAGCCGCCGCCGUAA
rnacentral:rRNA from 1 species